rnacentral:rRNA from 1 species
UGCCGGACCUGACUGCUAUCGGAUUGAUACUAAGCCAUGCGAGUCAUCGUAGCAAUACAAGGCAUACGGCUCAGUAACGCGUAGUCAACCUAACCUAUGGACGGGAAUAACCUCGGGAAACUGAGAAUAAUGCCCGAUAGAACAUUAUGCCUGGAAUGGUUUAUGUUCCAAAUGAUUUAUCGCCGUAGGAUGGGACUGCGGCCUAUCAGUUUGUUGGUGAGGUAAUGGCCCACCAAGACUAUUACAGGUACGGGCUCUGAGAGGAGUAGCCCGGAGAUGGGUACUGAGACACGGACCCAGGCCCUAUGGGGCGCAGCAGGCGAGAAAACUUUGCAAUGUGCGAAAGCACGACAAGGUUAAUCCGAGUGGUUUCUGCUAAAGAAACCUUUUGUCAGUCCUAGAAACACUGAUGAAUAAGGGGUGGGCAAGUUCUGGUGUCAGCC